AACGUAGGAGACGACCGUUAUCCGGAGUUACUGGGCGUAAAGGGCGUGUAGGCGGUUUGUUAAGUCUGGCGUGAAAGCUCUCGGCUAAACCGGGAGAGGUCGUUGGAUACUGGCGAACUAGAGGAUGGUAGAGGCGUGUGGAAUUCCGGGUGGAGUGGUGAAAUGCGUAGAGAUCCGGAGGAACACCAGUGGCGAAGGCGACACGCUGGGCCAUACCUGACGCUAAAGCGCGACAGCAUGGGGAGCAAACGGG
rnacentral:rRNA from 1 species